rnacentral:lncRNA from 10 species
UGUCCCUGCCCCUGUGUGCCUGAUAAGCAAGGGCUGUAUGAGUGAAGUCAUAGUCUAAGUCUCGGCUAUUUAAAGUAUACACUAGAUGGUGGUGAGGAUAUUGGGGUUGUGAGAAAAGAGUGUUCCAGGUGGAAGAAUCAGCAUAUGCAAAUUCCUAGGAGCUUGAAGAAACCGAGAAUCGUUGUGGGGUUGUUAAGAUUUUAGCCUGACUAGAAUAUGGCUGUACAGAGUACGGCUGGGAGAUACUGAUACUGCAGCAAGAGGAGGUCACGCAGAAAAGACCCCUGUGAGGCCUAAUAGGAAGUCUUCAGUUUGUCAUCACAGAAAUGAAAAUCAGUAAGAUUUUAUCCAUCUGAACCGAGCAAGCAACAGAAUGCAGACAAAUCACUAAGACUGGCUAUGGUGGGAAGGAGUGGGGAAGAGGCUCCUAAUGUGUUGUAAAACCACAGGAAAGAUAAAGGUAGUCUAAUGAAAUGAAAAUACUGAGAUUGGGGCCCCAGAUGGCUGAGUACAAGCAGCCAGUGUGCACUGCGCUCAUGGAAAAGAGAAAGAGGAACAAGUGAGCACUAGCUCCUCAACUGGAUGGGCCAGGCGUACACACUGGGGUUAAUCAAGGAAGCAACACAAUCCACAAAGAACAGAGAAGAGCAAGACAGGACAGCCACCUCCUCAGGACUGGCACAGAC